GCGCCCGUAGUUCAAUGGAUAGAGCGUCAGAUUCCGGUUCUGAAUGUUGGGGGUUCGAGUCCCUUCGGGCGUACCA
rnacentral:tRNA from 5 species